rnacentral:rRNA from 1 species
UACGUAGGGUGCAAGCGUUGUCCGGAAUUAUUGGGCGUAAAGAGCUCGUAGGCGGUCUGUCACGUCAGGAGUGAAAACUCGGGGCUCAACCCCGAGCCUGCUUCUGAUACGGGCAGACUGGAGGUAUGCAGGGGAGAACGGAAUUCCUGGUGUAGCGGUGAAAUGCGCAGAUAUCAGGAGGAACACCGGUGGCGAAGGCGGUUCUCUGGGCAUUACCUGACGCUGAGGAGCGAAAGUGUGGGGAGCGAACAGG